UCUGUGCUAAGGUAGCAUAAUCAUUAGUCUUUUAAUUGAGGACUGGUAUGAAUGGCUAAACGAGAAAUUUACUUUUUUUAUUAUAAUUAUAGAAUUUAUUUUUUCAGUGAAAAAACUGAGAUGUUCCUGGAAGACGAGAAGACCCUAUAGAGUUUUAUACAGUAAUUUUUCAUUUUGUAUUAGAUUUAUGUCAAUUUGAUCUUAGUCUGUAAUUUGUUGGGGCGAUAUUAAGAUAUAAAAAACUCUUUUUUCUAUAAACUUUUAUAAAUGGAAUAGUUUGAUCCUUUAAAAAGGAGAAAAAGAAAAAAUUACCUUAGGGAUAACAGCGUAAUCUUUUUUGAGAGUUCUAAUCGACAAAAAGGUUUGCGACCUCGAUGUUGGACUAAAAUUUAGGUGUGGUGCAGUAGCUUCAUUUUAGGGUCUGUUCGACCCGUAAUAUUUUACAUGAUCUGAGUUCAGACCGGCGUAAGCCAGGUUGGU
rnacentral:rRNA from 1 species